CGUGCUUAACACAUGCAAGUCGAACGAUGAACCUCACUUGUGGGGGGAUUAGUGGCGAACGGGUGAGUAACACGUGAGUAACCUGCCCUUAACUCUGGGAUAAGCCUGGGAAACUGGGUCUAAUACUGGAUAUUGACUUUUCAUCGCAUGGUGGUUGGUUGAAAGAUUUUUUGGUUUUGGAUGGACUCGCGGCCUAUCAGCUUGUUGGUGAGGUAAUGGCUUACCAAGGCGACGACGGGUAGCCGGCCUGAGAGGGUGACCGGCCACACUGGGACUGAGACACGGCCCAGACUCCUACGGGAGGCAGCAGUGGGGAAUAUUGCACAAUGGGCGAAAGCCUGAUGCAGCGACGCCGCGUGAGGGAUGACGGCCUUCGGGUUGUAAACCUCUUUCAGUAGGGAACAAGGCUAGACGUUGUCUGGUUGAGGGUACUUGCAGAAGAAGCGCCGGCUAACUACGUGCCAGCAGCCGCGGUAAUACGUAGGGCGCAAGCGUUAUCCGGAAUUAUUGGGCGUAAAGAGCUCGUAGGCGGUUUGUCGCGUCUGCCGUGAAAGUCCGGGGCUCAACUCCGGAUCUGCGGUGGGUACGGGCAGACUAGAGUGAUGUAGGGGAGACUGGAAUUCCUGGUGUAGCGGUGAAAUGCGCAGAUAUCAGGAGGAACACCGAUGGCGAAGGCAGGUCUCUGGGCAUUAACUGACGCUGAGGAGCGAAAGCAUGGGGAGCGAACAGGAUUAGAUACCCUGGUAGUCCAUGCCGUAAACGUUGGGCACUAGGUGUG
rnacentral:rRNA from 1 species